rnacentral:rRNA from 1 species
GAUGAACGCUGGCGGCGUGCCUAAUACAUGCAAGUCGAGCGAACGGGCGAGAAGCUUGCUUCUCUGAUGUUAGCGGCGGACGGGUGAGUAACACGUGGAUAACCUACCUAUAAGACUGGGAUAACUUCGGGAAACCGGAGCUAAUACCGGAUGAUAUUUUGAACCGCAUGGUUCAAAAGUGAAAGACGGUCUUGCUGUCACUUAUAGAUGGAUCCGCGCUGCAUUAGCUAGUUGGUAAGGUAACGGCUUACCAAGGCAACGAUGCAUAGCCGACCUGAGAGGGUGAUCGGCCACACUGGAACUGAGACACGGUCCAGACUCCUACGGGAGGCAGCAGUAGGGAAUCUUCCGCAAUGGGCGAAAGCCUGACGGAGCAACGCCGCGUGAGUGAUGAAGGUCUUCGGAUCGUAAAACUCUGUUAUUAGGGAAGAACAUAUGAGUAAGUAACUGUGCACAUCUUGACGGUACCUAAUCAGAAAGCCACGGCUAACUACGUG